rnacentral:rRNA from 1 species
UAGGGAAGUCUUCCACAAUGGGCGGCAAGCCUGAUGGAGCAACACCGCGUGAGUGAAGAAGGGUUUCGGCUCGUAAAGCUCUGUUGUUAAAGAAGAACACGUAUGAGAGUAACUGUUCAUACGUUGACGGUAUUUAACCAGAAAGUCACGGCUAACUACGUGCCAG